AGAACGAACGCUGGCGGCAUGCCUAAUACAUGCAAGUCGAACGAACACUUCGGUGUUAGUGGCGCACGGGUGCGUAACGCGUGGGAAUCUGCCCUUGGGUUCGGAAUAACAGUUGGAAACGACUGCUAAUACCGGAUGAUAUCGAAAGAUCAAAGAUUUAUCGCCCAGGGAUGAGCCCGCGUAGGAUUAGCUAGUUGGUGAGGUAAAGGCUCACCAAGGCGACGAUCCUUAGCUGGUCUGAGAGGAUGAUCAGCCACACGUGGGACUGAGACACGGCCCAGACCUCCGUACGGGAGCAGCAGGUAGGAAUAUGGACAAGUGGGCGCAAGCCUGAUCCAGCAA
rnacentral:rRNA from 1 species